rnacentral:rRNA from 1 species
AUUGAACGCUAGCGGCAUGCUUACACAUGCAAGUCGAACGAGUGGCGGACGGGUGAGUAAUAUAUCGGAACCUGCCUACUUGCGGGGGAUAACUACUCGAAAGUGUGCUAUACCGCAUACUAUUGGAUCGGCCCAUAUCGGAUUAGCUAGUUGGUGGGGUAAAGGCUCACCAAGGCAACGAUCCCUAGCUGGUCUGAGAGGAGGACCAGCCACACUGGGACUGAGACACGGCCCAGACGCCUACGGGAGGCAGCAGUGGGGAAGAUUGGACAAUGGGGGAAACCCUGAUGCAGCCAUGCCGCGUGUAUGAUGAAGGCUUCGGGUUGUAAAGUACUUUUGGCAGAGAAGCGGUAUCUGCAGAAUAAGCACCGGCUAACUACGUGCCAGCAGCCGCGGUAAUAC